rnacentral:rRNA from 1 species
UACCACAUCCAAGGAAGGCCGCAGCCACGCAAAUUACCCAAUCCCAGCUCUGGGAGGUAGUGACGAAAAAUAACAAUGCGGGACUCUUCCGAGUCUGCGUAAUUGGAAUGAGCACACUUUAAAUCCUUUAGCAACAACCAAUUGGAGGGCAAGUCUGGUGCCAGCAGCCGCGGUAAUUCCAGCUCCAAUAGCGUAUAUUAAAGUUGUUGCGGUUAAAAAGCUCGUAGUUCGAGCUCAGUUCCGGACUGGCUGGGGAGGUCACCGCCCGGUGCUUCCCCGUCAGGCUCCGAACAGCUUCCGUGAGUGGAAGCCAAGCCGGUUCUGCCGGGGUGCUCUUUACCGAGUGUCCCGUGCGGCCGGCCAGUUCACCUUGAAUAAAUGAGAGUGCUCAAAGCAGGCUACUCUCGAAUACAAUGCCCGAAUGUUACCUGCAUGGAAUGAUGGAAGAUGAUCUCGGUUCCAUUUUGUUGGUGGUGGGAGCCAGAGGUAAUGAUAAACAGGGACUGUCGGGGGCAUCCGUACUACGACGCGAGAGGUGAAAU